AAGACUGUGCUUCACAGGAUCAUUUCUGUAGGCAAGUUUUCACCACACGUUUUUUUCCAACAGGAAAAGAUUUCCUAUAUCGCACAAAAACAAGAUCGA